rnacentral:rRNA from 1 species
AACGAACGCUGGCGGCAUGCCUAACACAUGCAAGUCGAACGAGACCUUCGGGUCUAGUGGCGCACGGGUGCGUAACGCGUGGGAACCUGCCCUUAGGUUCGGAAUAACUCCCCGAAAGGGGUGCUAAUACCGGAUAAUGUCUUCGGACCAAAGAUUUAUCGCCUUUGGAUGGGCCCGCGUUGGAUUAGCUAGUUGGUAGGGUAAAAGCCUACCAAGGCGACGAUCCAUAGCUGGUCUGAGAGGAUGAUCAGCCACACUGGGACUGAGACACGGCCCAGACUCCUACGGGAGGCAGCAGUGGGGAAUAUUGGACAAUGGGCGAAAGCAUGAUCCAGCAAUGCCGGGUGAGUGAUGAAGGCAUUAGGGUUGUAAAGCUCUUUUACCCGGGAUGAUAAUGACAGUACCGGGAGAAUAAGCUCCGGCUAACUACGUG